GUAGGGUGCAAGCGUUAAUCGGAAUUACUGGGCGUAAAGCGUGCGCAGGCGGGUUUUGUAAGUCUGACGUGAAAUCCCCGGGGCUCAACCUGGGAAUUGCGUUGGAGACUGCAAGGCUGGAGUCUGGCAGAGGGGGGUAGAAUUCCACGUGUAGCAGUGAAAUGCGUAGAGAUGUGGAGGAACACCGAUGGCGAAGGCAGCCCCCUGGGUCAAGACUGACGCUCAUGCACGAAAGCGUGGGGAGCAAACAGGAUUAGAUACCCUGGUAGUCCACGCCCUAAACGAUGUCUACUAGUUGUCGGGUCUUAAUUGACUUGGUAACGCAGCUAACGCGUGAAGUAGACCGCCUGGGGAGUACGGUCGCAAAGAUUA
rnacentral:rRNA from 1 species